rnacentral:rRNA from 1 species
AUUGAACGCUGGUGGAAUGCUUUACACAUGCAAAUCGAACGGCAGCACGGACUUCGGUCUGGUGGCGAGUGGCGAACGGGUGCGUAAUGUAUCGGAACGUGCCUUGGCGUGGGGGAUAACGUAGUGAAAAUUACGCUAAUACCGCAUACGCUCUAUGGAGGAAAGCGGGGGAUCGCAAGACCUCGCGCGAUUGGAGCGGCAGAUUUUAGAGUAGGUAGUUGGUGGGGUAAAGGCCCACCAAGCCAACGAUCUGUAGCUGGUCUGAGAGGACGACAAGCCACACUGGAACUUAGACACGGUCCAGACUCCUACUGGAGGCAGCAGUGGGGAAUUUUGGACAAUGGGCGAAAGCCUGAUCCAGCCAUUCCGCGUGCAGUAUGAAGGCCCUCGGGUUGUAAACUGCUUUUGUACAGAACGAAAAGGUUUCUACUAAUACUAGGAGCUCAUGACGGUACUGUAAGAAUAAGCACCGGCUAACUACGUGCCAGCCGCCGCAGUAA